rnacentral:rRNA from 1 species
AAAAGCUCGUAGUUGGAUCUCAGCUCGAGCCGGGCGGUCCGCCUACCGGUGGUCACUGUCUGUGCUCGGCGUUAUCGCCGGUUUCCCCUGAUGAUCUUCACCGGUUGUCUCGGGUGACCGGCAAGUUUACUUUGAAAAAAUUAGAGUGCUCAAAGCAGGCGCGACGCCUGAAUAAUGGUGCAUGGAAUAAUGGAAUAGGACCUCGGUUCUAUUUUGUUGGUUUUCGGAACACGAGGUAAUGAUUAAGAGGGACAGACGGGGGCAUUCGUAUUGCGACGCUAGAGGUGAAAUUCUUGGACCGUCGCAAGACGAACUACUGCGAAAGCAUUUGCCAAGAAUGUUUCCAUUAAUCAAGAACGAAAGUUAGAGGUUCGAAGGCGAUCAGAUACCGCCCUAGUUCUAACCAUAAACGAUGCCAGCCAGCGAUCCGGCUGUGUUCCUCAAAUGACACGCCGGGCAGCUUCCGGGAAACCAAAGCUUGUGGGUUCCGGGGGAAGUAUGGUUGCAAAGCUGAAACUUAAAGGAAUUGACGGAAGGGCACCACCAGAAAUGGAGCCUGCGGCUUAAUUUGACUCAACACGGGAAAACUUACCCGGCCCGGACACAGGAAGGAUUGACAGAUUAAGAGCUCUUUCUUGAUUCUGUGGGUGGUGGUGCAUGGCCGUUCUUAGUUGGUGGGGCGACUUGUCUGGUUAAUUCCGAUAACGAACGAGACUCUAGCCUACUAAAUAGACGUCCCGAUCCUCUUGCGUCGGACGUUCUUCUUAGAGGGACAGGCGGCGUUUAGCCGCACGAGACAGAGCAAUAACAGGUCUGGGAUGCCCUUAGAUGUCCGGGGCCGCACGCGCGCUACAUUGAAGGAAUCAGCGUGUUCUCUCCCUGUCCGACAGGACUGGGUAACCCGUUGAACCUCCUUCGUGCUUGGGAUAGGGGCUUGUAAUUGUUCCCCUUGAACGAGGAAUUCCCAGUAAGCGCGAGUCAUAAGCUCGUGUUGAUUACGUCCCUGCCCUUUGUCCACACCGCCCGUCGCUACUACCGAUUGAAUGAUUUAGUGAGGUCUUCGGACUGGCGCUCGGAUUGGCCUUCGUGGUCGAGCCGAAGUGCCGGAAAGAUGACCAAACUUGAUCAUUUAGAGGAAGUAAAAGUCGUAACAAGGUUUU